rnacentral:rRNA from 1 species
AUUGAACGCUGGCGGCAGGCCUAACACAUGCACGUCGAACGAGUGGCGGACGGGUGAGUAAUGUCUGGGAAACUGCCUGAUGUAGGGGGAUAACUACUGGAAACGGUAGCUAAUACCGCAUACCAUCAGAUGUGCCCAGAUGGGACUAGCUAGUUGGUGGGGUAACGGCUCACCAAGGCGACGACCCCUAGCUGGUCUGAGAGGAUGACCAGCCACACGGGAACUGAGACACGGUCCAGACUCCUGCGGGAGGAAGCAGUGGGGAAUAUUGCACAAUGGGCGCAAGCCUGAUGCAGCCAUGCCGCGUGUAUGAAGAAGGCCUUCGGGUGGUAAAGUACUUUCAGCGGGGAGGCGUGACCCGCAGAAGAAGCACCGGCUAACUCCGUGACAGCCGCAGCGGUAAUAC